GAUGAACGCUGGCGGCGUGCCUAAUACAUGCAAGUCGAGCGAACGGACGAGAAGCUUGCUUCUCUGAUGUUAGCGGCGGACGGGCGAGUAACACGUGGAUAACCUACCUAUAAGACUGGGAUAACUUCGGGAAACCGGAGCUACUACCGGCUAAUAUUUUGAACCGCAUGGUUCAAAAGUGAAAGACGGUCUUGCUGUCACUUAUAGAUGGAUCCGCGUUGCAUUAGCUAGUUGGUAAGGUAACGGCUUACCAAGGCAACGAUGCAUAGCCGACCUGAGAGGGUGAUCGGCCACACUGGAACUGAGACACGGUCCAGACUCCUACGGGAGGCAGCAGUAGGGAAUCUUCCGCAAUGGGCGAAAGCCUGACGGAGCAACGCCGCGUGAGUGAUGAAGGUCUUCGGAUCGUAAAACUCUGUUAUUAGGGAAGAACAUAUGUGUAAGUAACUGUGCACAUCUUGACGGUACCUAAUGAGAAAGCCACGGCUAACUACGUG
rnacentral:rRNA from 1 species